rnacentral:rRNA from 1 species
GACGAACGCUGGCGGCGUGCUUAACACAUGCAAGUCGAACGGUGAAGCGCCUUCCUUUUUGGUGGGUGUGGAUGAGCGGCGAACGGGUGAGUAACACGUGAGUAUCCUGCCCCCUCCUUCUGGACAACCGCAUGACAGUGUUGCUACUACGGGAUAUUCUGGGUCUGUUGCAUGAUGGGUCUGGGACGGAUUUUGUUUCGGUGGGGGAUGGGCUCGCGGCCUAUCAGCUAGUUGGUGGGGUGAUGGCGUACCAAGGCAGCGAUGGGUAGCCGGCCUGAGAGGGGGGUGGGCGGCCACAGUGGGGCGGAGAGGCGGACAAGCCUACUAGGGGAGGCAGCAGGGGGGAAUAGGGAACGGGGGGAGGAAGGAUGGUGCAGCGACGCGGGGGGGGGGAUGGAGGCCGGCGGGUUGUGAACCGCUUUCGGGAGAGAAGCAGGCUUGAAUCGUCUGUGGGUGGGUUGACGGUAGCUGGAUAAGAAGCGCCGGCUAACUACGUG